rnacentral:rRNA from 1 species
UAUGUACCGUAAUGAAUAAGCAUCGGCUAACUCCGUGCCAGCAGCCGCGGUAAUACGGAGGAUGCGAGCGUUAUCCGGGAUUUAUUGGGUUUAAAGGGUGCGUAGGUUGUAGAUUAAGUCAGCGGUGAAAGAUUGUCGCUUAACGAUAAAAUUGCCGUUGAAACUGUUUUACUAGAGUAUAUUUGAAGUAGGCGGAAUGCGUGGUGUAGCGGUGAAAUGCAUAGAUAUCACGCAGAACUCCGAUAGCGAAGGCAGCUUACUAAGUUAUGACUGACACUGAAGCACGAAAGCGUGGGUAUCAAACAGGAUUAGAUACCCUGGUAGUCCACGCAGUAAACGAUGAUUACUAGCUGUUUGCGAUAUGAAUGUAAGUGGCAAAGCGAAAGCGUUAAGUAAUCCACCUGGGGAGUACGCCGGCAACGGUGAAACUCAAAGGAAUUGACGGGGGCCCGCACAAGCGGAGGAACAUGUGGUUUAAUUCGAUGAUACGCGAGGAACCUUACCCGGGAUUGAAAUGUAUCUGAAUAACGUUGAAAGAUGUUAGCUAGCAAUAGCAGAUAUGUAGGUGCUGCAUGGUUGUCGUCAGCUCGUGCCGUGAGGUGUCGGCUUAAGUGCCAUAACGAGCGCAACCCUCAUUGAUAGUUACUAGCAGGUGAAGCUGAGGACUCUAUCAAGACUGCCGGCGUAAGCUGUGAGGAAGGUGGGGAUGACGUCAAAUCAGCACGGCCCUUACAUCCGGGGCGACACACGUGUUACAAUGGUGGGGACAAAGGGCAGCUACCUGGUGACAGGAUGCCAAUCUCUAAACCCCAUCUCAGUUCGGAUCGGAGUCUGCAACUCGACUCCGUGAAGCUGGAUUCGCUAGUAAUCGCGCAUCAGCCAUGGCGCGGUGAAUACGUUCCCGGGCCUUGUACACACCGCCCGUCAAGCCAUGGGAGUUGGGGGUACCUGAAGUCCGUAACCGUAAGGAUCGGCCUAGGGUAAAACCGAUGACUGGGGCUAAGUCGUAACAAGGUAGCCGUAAAUCGA